rnacentral:rRNA from 1 species
UACCAGCACCCCGAGUGGUCGGGACGAUUAUUGGGCCUAAAGCAUCCGUAGCCGGUUCUACAAGUCUUCCGUUAAAUCCACCCGCUCAACGGUUGGGCCGCGGGGGAUACUACAGGGCUAGGAGGCGGGAGAGGCAAGCGGUACUCGAUGGGUAGGGGUAAAAUCCACUGAUCCAUUGAAGACCACCAGUGGCGAAGGCGGCUUGCCAGAACGCGCUCGACGGUGAGGGAUGAAAGCUGGGGGAGCAAACCGG